CAACGGCGGGGAGGAGGUUGGGGGUGGGGGGAGAGACUCUUCAUGUACAAAGCCACCGACGGGUGUUACAUUUGCUUUCAGCGACCUUACGAUCUUCCCAUAUAAAACAUCAAAGCACUCCUUUGCUUAAAGGUAAAAAUCACUGCACAACUCAACCCUCUUGUCAAGGUCAAGACCUACCUUUAAUGAAUGAAGCCAGUCUGAAUGGAAAAACACUGGAUAAUAAAUGACUUUGAAAGACAGGCCAGCCAAUGUCUAAUGUUGGACUAACGCAGUACCUCCUGAUUAUUUGCUGGUGUUUGGUAUAUGACAAAUAGUCGACCACACUGGCAAGAGCACUUUGACAACUGGAAGCUUUCAGCGCAUGCUCUCCCAAGGAAUCCUGGGGGUUGAAGUCUUAGCUAUAGAUGGCAUUUCACUGCUGCCUAUCCUGAAAGGA